UCCGUAGGCGGGCGAUUAAGUCAGAGGUGAAAUCCCACAGCUCAACUGUGGAACUGCCUUUGAUACUGGUUGUCUUGAGUUACAGUGAAGUAGAUAGAAUAUGUAGUGUAGCGGUGAAAUGCAUAGAUAUUACAUAGAAUACCGAUUGCGAAGGCAGUCUACUAACUGUAUACUGACGCUAAUGGACGAAAGCGUGGGGAGCGAACAGGAUUAGAUACCCUGGUAGUC
rnacentral:rRNA from 1 species